UACGUAGGGGGCGAGCGUUAAUCGGAAUUACUGGGCGUAAAGCGCGCGUAGGCGGCUUUGCAAGUCGGGUGUGAAAUCCCCAGGCUUAACCUGGGAACUGCAUUCGAGACUGCAUUGCUAGAGUAUGGGAGAGGGAAGUGGAAUUUCCGGUGUAGCGGUGAAAUGCGUAGAUAUCGGAAGGAACAUCAGUGGCGAAAGCGACUUCCUGGACCAAUACUGACGCUCAUGUGCGAAAGCGUGGGGAGCAAACAGG
rnacentral:rRNA from 1 species